UAGCUUAAUGGUAGAGCAUUUGCCUUCUAAGGGCAAGGCUCUGGGUUCAAUCCCCAG
rnacentral:tRNA from 1 species